rnacentral:rRNA from 1 species
GACAGAGGUGCCAAGCGUUAGGCGGAGUCACUGGGCUUAAAGCGUGUGUAGGCGGACUGGUAAGUACUUUGUGAAAUCCCACGGCUCAACCGUGGAACUGCUGGGUAAACUGCUGGUCUUGAGCCACCUAGGGGCGAGUGGAACAAACGGUGGAGCGGUGAAAUGCGUAGAUAUCGUUUGGAACGCCGACGGUGAAAACAGCUCGCUGGGGGUGUGCAGACGCUGAGACACGAAAGCCAGGGGAG